rnacentral:rRNA from 1 species
GAUGAACGCUGGCGGCGUGCCUAAUACAUGCAAGUCGAGCGAACGGACGAGAAGCUUGCUUCUCUGAUGUUAGCGGCGGACGGGUGAGUAACACGUGGAUAACCUACCUAUAAGACUGGGAUAACUUCGGGAAACCGGAGCUAAUACCGGAUAAUAUUUUGAACCGCAUGGUUCAAAAGUGAAAGACGGUCUUGCUGUCUCUUAUAGAUGGUUCCGCGCUGCAUUAGCUAGUUGGUAAGGUAACGGCUUACCAAGGCAACGAUGCAUAGCCGACCUGAGAGGGUGAUCGGCCACACUGGAACUGAGACACGGUCCAGACUCCUACGGGAGGCAGCAGUAGGGAAUCUUCCGCAAUGGGCGAAAGCCUGACGGAGCAACGCCGCGUGAGUGAUGAAGGUCUUCGGAUCGUAAAACUCUGUUAUUAGGGAAGAACAUAUGUGUAAGUAACUGUGCACAUCUUGACGGUACCUAAUCAGAAAGCCACGGCUAACUACGUG